UGGAUCCAGACUUUGAUCAUGGCUCAGGAUGAACGCUGGCGGCGUGCUUAACACAUGCAAGUCGAACGAGAAUCUAGUGAAGGAGUUUUCGGACAACGGAUCUAGAGGAAAGUGGCGGACGGGUGAGUAACGCGCGAGCAAUCUGCCUUGGAGUGGGGAAUAACACAACGAAAGCUGUGCUAAUACCGCAUGAUGCAGUUGGGAGGCAUCUCUCGGCUGCCAAAGAUUUAUCGCUCUGAGAUGAGCUCGCGUCUGAUUAGCUAGUUGGUGGGCAACGGCCCACCAAGGCGACGAUCAGUAGCCGGACUGAGAGGUUGGCCGGCCACAUUGGGACUGAGAUACGGCCCAGACUCCUACGGGAGGCAGCAGUGGGGAAUAUUGGGCAAUGGACGCAAGCCUGACCCAGCAACGCCGCGUGAAGGAAGAAGGCUUUCGGGUUGUAAACUUCUUUUAAGAGGGACGAAUAAAGUGACGGUACCUCUUGAAUAAGCCACGGCUAACUACGUGCCAGCAGCCGCGGUAAUACGUAGGUGGCAAGCGUUAUCCGGAUUUAUUAGGUGUAAAGGGCGUGUAGGCGGGAAUGCAAGUCAGAUGUGAAAACUAUGGGCUCAACCCAUAGCCUGCAUUUGAAACUGUAUUUCUUGAGUGCUGGAGAGGCAAUCGGAAUUCCGUGUGUAGCGGUGAAAUGCGUAGAUAUACGGAGGAACACCAGUGGCGAAGGCGGAUUGCUGGACAGUAACUGACGCUGAGGCGCGAAAGCGUGGGGAGCAAACAGGAUUAGAUACCCUGGUAGUCCACGCCGUAAACGAUGGAUACUAGGUGUGGGGGGACUGACCCCCUCCGUGCCGCAGCUAACGCAAUAAGUAUCCCACCUGGGGAGUACGAUCGCAAGGUUGCAACUCAAAGGAAUUGACGGA
rnacentral:rRNA from 1 species